UACGGGGGGGGCAAGCGUUGUUCGGAAUUACUGGGCGUAAAGGGCGCGUAGGCGGCCUUCUAAGUCAGACGUGAAAUCCCUCGGCUCAACCGAGGAACUGCGUCUGAUACUGGAAGGCUUGAAUCCGGGAGAGGGAUGUGGAAUUCCAGGUGUAGCGGUGAAAUGCGUAGAUAUCUGGAGGAACACCGGUGGCGAAGGCGGCAUCCUGGACCGGUAUUGACGCUGAGGAGCGAAAGCUAGGGGAGCAAACGGG
rnacentral:rRNA from 1 species